rnacentral:misc_RNA from 1 species
UUAAGUUCAGCGGGUAUCCCUACCUGAUCCGAGGUCAACCUGAAAAAUUUAGGGGUUGCUGGCAAGCAUCUCUCCAGACCCUAUAGCGAGAAAGUUACUACGCGUAGAGCUGAGGAGCACCGCCACUGAUUUUAAGGCCCGCCAACCGGCGAGGCCCAACACCUAGCCGGGCUAGAUUGGUUAUAAUGACGCUCGAACAG